UACGAAGGGGGCUAGCGUUGCUCGGAAUCACUGGGCGUAAAGCGCACGUAGGCGGGUCGUUAAGUCGGGGGUGAAAUCCUGGAGCUCAACUCCAGAACUGCCUUCGAUACUGGCGACCUUGAGUCCGGGAGAGGUGAGUGGAACUCCGAGUGUAGAGGUGAAAUUCGUAGAUAUUAGGAAGAACACCAGUGGCGAAGGCGGCUCACUGGCCCGGUACUGACGCUGAGGUGCGAAAGCGUGGGGAGCAAACAGG
rnacentral:rRNA from 1 species